GAGCGCAACCCUUAUCCUUUGUUGCCAGCGAUUAGGUCGGGAACUCAAAGGAGACUGCCAGUGAUAAACUGGAGGAAGGUGGGGAUGACGUCAAGUCAUCAUGGCCCUUACGACCAGGGCUACACACGUGCUACAAUGGCGCAUACAAAGAGAAGCGACCUCGCGAGAGCAAGCGGACCUCAUAAAGUGCGUCGUAGUCCGGAUUGGAGUCUGCAACUCGACUCCAUGAAGUCGGAAUCGCUAGUAAUCGUGGAUCAGAAUGCCACGGUGAAUACGUUCCCGGGCCUUGUACACACCGCCCGUCACACCAUGGGAGUGGGUUGCAAAAGAAGUAGGUAGCUUAACCUUCGGGAGGGCGCUUACCACUUUGUGAUUCAUGACUGGGGUGAAGUCGUAACAAGGUAACCGUAGGGGAACCUGCGGUUGGA
rnacentral:rRNA from 5 species